rnacentral:lncRNA from 1 species
GCUACUUCUGCACCAAUGGUGCCAUAUUGGGACAGCGCUUUUUGCUUGCUAUUGUUUUUCUGUUUUAUUCCUUACAGACAGACUAUUGCCUUAUGUUGCCAUCUGUGUACCCUUCUAAUUGGCUGAUUUGAUCCUGUUGAGAAAACUAUAAAUGGUAGUUUCCCACACUGUUCAUAAAGUUUUCCUUAAACCAUCUAUGGCACUUGAAUGUUUAUGAGUUCUACAUCAGGUUCUUAUAAAGACAGUUCUACUCCUGCUCUCUCUCUUGAGGGUUCCAUUGCCAUAGUACAUCUGCUUCUGUUUGAGCAUCUCCUUGAUUCUUUCCCAAGUGAUUAGCUCUACAACUGUAGCUUCCAAGUGGAACAUAACAGUAUGCCAGGCUUGGCCAGGCGUGGUGAAACCCUGCAAGAUAAGAUAUGUCCAAUGUUACCUAGCUAAGUAAGUAACAAACCCAGAACUGGGCCCCAGAUCUUUCACUAUAAGUCAAUGCUUUUAGUAUCUACAAUGCUAUCCCCAUUGAACUGACCUAAUCUCUUAGAAAUUCAAAUUCCUGAGGCAAGGAAAGCAUUAUCCCAGUUUAUCUUUUCCAGCCAGGCUACACCAUCCACAAGGUUGCUGGACUAUCUGUGAACUGCCUGCACCGGGGUCAGGGGGCACACCUAAUCCAAUCCCUCGGAGUGAUACAACAUACAACAUAGCCAAAUCCCAAAGGGCUGCCAGUGGGCAUC